UGGGGAAUUUUGCACAAUGGGCGCAAGCCUGAUGCAGCGACGCCGCGUGAGGGAUGAAGGCCUUCGGGUUGUAAACCUUUUUCGCUCAUGGUCAAGCCGCAGCUUUGGGUCGUGGUGAGGGUAGUGGGUAAAGAAGCGCCGGCUAACUACGUGCCAGCAGCCGCGGUAAUACGUAGGGCGCGAGCGUUGUCCGGAAUUAUUGGGCGUAAAGGGCUUGUAGGCGGUUGGCCGCGUCUGCCGUGAAAUCCUCUGGCUUAACUGGGGGCGUGCGGUGGGUACGGGUUGACUUGAGUGCGGUAGGGGAGACUGGAAUUCCUGGUGUAGCGGUGGAAUGCGCAGAUAUCAGGAGGAACACCGGUGGCGAAGGCGGGUCUCUGGGCCGUUACUGACGCUGAGGAGCGAAAGCGUGGGGAGCGAACAGG
rnacentral:rRNA from 1 species